GGCCGGUUAGCUCAGCUGGUUAGAGCGUGGUGCUAAUAACGCCAAGGUCGUGGGUUCGAUCCCCGUACGGGCCA
rnacentral:tRNA from 1 species